rnacentral:misc_RNA from 1 species
AUGUUCGCCGUACGACACUUUAGUCCAGCCCAGACAGCUAAGAACACAACUCAAGAACAACGAGAGCGAGGAGGCACACAACUCUUUAUUUUGCAAGCUCUUGUUUCCACACACCUUGUCAAGCAGCCCUACUCACUUCACAAGAGCGAAUGGCGUUCACGGUGCCACAGAUCCUGGGCUCGUACGAGCAGAGAGGGGCUUACAGGAACCAAAAAGAAGCCUUCUUGGCCUUCCUGGGAUACUCCGUAGGCCUAGGCAAUUUCUGGCGGUUCCCUUACCUGUGCGCGAAGUACAAAGGAGCGACGUUCCUAAUUCCUUACUUCGUGGCUCUGGUGAUCAUCGGCCUGCCACUGUAUUUCCUCGAGAUGGCCCUGGGUCAGUACUUAAGCAUCGGCCCAACGCAUGUCUUCUGCUCCAUCAGCCCUGGCUUCUGCGGUGUCGGCUGGGCGAUGGUGUUGGUGUUGAUGCUGGAAACCAUUUACUACAACAUCGGGAUCGCCUGGACCCUCUUCUACACCGUCUCCUCCUUCCAGGCGCGUCUGCCGUGGUGCAACAACACAGAUUGUUCUAAGGUUGAAAACCACUACAAAGCAGCGGCCUUGUAUUUCAACCAGUCCGUCCUGGGAGAAGGCCGACAACACGAUAGCGAAAUAAACGUACUGCUCUUGCUGUGCCUGGGAGUCGCGUGGUGCCUGUUGGCCGCGGUCAUCGCCAGGGGCAUUGGGAGCCUGGGGAAGGUCCUGUACAUCACCAUCGGCGUCGCCUACAUCACCCUGCCCAUGCUGCUGGUCGCCUCCUACGCGAACUCGGACGGGACCAAGUGGGUGGAGUCCAUCAUCCAGUACAUGAGCGUGGACACGGACAACCUGCUGAAGGGCAGCAUCUGGAGCGAGGCGGCGACGCAGGUCAUGUACUCGCUCGGGCUGGCGCACGCCGGCAUCCAAACCCUGGCCUCCUACAACACGUUCCGACACAACAUCCUGAGGGACGCCGUCCUCCUCGUGCUGUUGGACACGGCCACCUCGAUCCUGUGCACCCUCGUGAUGUUCAGCUCGCUGGCCUCCAUCGGGGAAGACCUCCCCACGGAGGAGCAGGAGCUCACGCAGCUGUUGUUCGUCGUGUUCCCGGCGCUGCUCUCCAAGAUCAACACAAUCCCGUGGCCUACCAUCGUGUUCUGCAUGAUCUUCUCCUUCGGAUUCAACAGCCAGUUCGUCAUGGUGGAGACCAUCACCACCGCCCUCUUCGACCAAUUCCACGUGCUGCGGCACUGGCACGUGCCCGUGGUGGUGGGUACGUGCUCGGCGCUCUUCCUGCUGGGGAUCCCCUUGUGCAUGCGCGGCGGCAUUAAAUUCUUCCAGUUCCUCGACAAGAACAUCACUGCCCACUCCUUCCUGUUCCUCGGCUUGUUGGAGGUCAUCGUCGCCAGCUACGUCUACGGUACGGCGUGGUUGAAGGCGCGGGCGGAGGGGCAGGCCAGGGCGCCCGCACACCUGAUUAAACAACCUCAUGGACCUCAUAAGAAACCGCAUGAAGGUGUCUGUGUGCGCGCCCUUCUACUGGUACUUCAGGCUCAUGUACUUGGUCGUCACGCCGCUCUUCAUGCUGGUGUGUCUCAUCUACUCCUGGUAUGAUCGAGUCGGAAACGACGAUCCCUGGGAGGUCUUUGGCAUCAUGGUGGCCCUCUACCCCUUCGUCAUCGUCGCCGCCGGGGUCGUCUACGCGGUCGUCAAGAACUGGAACAAGGGACUGGCGAGCCUUCUGGUGGCGACGAAGGACUUCUGCCCCGAGUACGAGCGUCGAGAGCGAGCCGCCGGCCCGCAGACUUUCGAGCUCCAGGUCCCCACGACGCCGCAGCUGCCUCUCGGCGGCUGAAGAAGGCC